GGAGCCUUUAAGAGAGAGUGAGAGACAGAGAGAGCAAGAAGAUGAAAGAGUGAUUUUUCUCUGUUUUUGAUACUACGUAUCAUGUUGUUGUUUUUUUUUUUUUUUUUGGUCAUCACAUGUUGUUGUUUUUUAAUUUCAUUCAAUGAAUGCAUGCAGCUCAUCAAAACUAAGGUUUUAAUUAUGGUAAUAAAAGACAUAAUUUUGACAAACAAUUGAAUCAAAAUCAUUGAUCGAAUGAAACACAAAAA
rnacentral:lncRNA from 1 species